rnacentral:rRNA from 1 species
GUGGGGAAUCUUCCGCAAUGGACGAAAGUCUGACGGAGCAACGCCGCGUGAGUGAAGAAGGUUUUCGGAUCGUAAAGCUCUUUCGUUAGGGACGAACGUGCUCUUUGUGAAUAAUGAGGAGUAAUGACGGUACCUAAAUAAGAAGCCACGGCUAACUACGUGCCAGCAGCCGCGGGUAUACGUAGGUGGCACGCGUUGUCCGGAAUUAUUGGGCGUAAAGCGCGCGCAGGCGGGAUAUCAAGUCUGUCUUAAAAGUGCGAGGCUCAACCUCGUGAGGGGACAGAAACUGGUAUUCUUGAGUGUCGGAGAGGAAAGUGGAAUUCCAAGUGUAGCGGUGAAAUGCGUAGAGAUUUGGAAGAACACCAGUGGCGAAGGCGACUUUCUGGACGAUGUCUGACGCUGAGGCGCGAAAGCUAGGGGAGCGAACGGGAUUAGAUACCCUGGUAGUCC